CCCUUAGAUGUCCGGGGCUGCACGCGCGCUACACUGAAGGAAUCAGCGUGCUAAAACCAUUGUCGAAAGGCAUUGGUAAACCCAUUAAAAUCCUACGUGAUUGGGAUCGGGAAUUGCAAUUAUUUCCCUUGAACGAGGAAUUCCCAGUAAGUGUGAGUCAUAAGCUCGCGUUGAUUACGUCCCUGCCCUUUGUACACACCGCCCGUCGCUGCCCGGGACUGAGCCGUUUCGAGAAAAGCGGGGACUGCUGCUGUCGGGGCUUUCGGGCCUUGGCUUCGGUGGAAACCGCUUUAAUCGCAGUGGCUUGAACCGGGCAAAAGUCGUAACA
rnacentral:rRNA from 1 species